AGAGUUUGAUCCUGGCUCAGGACGAACGCUGGCGGCGUGCCUAAUACAUGCAAGUCGAGCGAACUGAUAAGGAGCUUGCUCCUUUGACGUUAGCGGCGGACGGGUGAGUAACACGUGGGCAACCUACCUGUAAGACUGGGAUAACUUCGGGAAACCGGAGCUAAUACCGGAUGAAUCUUUUCUUCGCAUGAAGAAGAGAUAAAAGAUGGUUUCGGCUAUCGCUUACAGAUGGGCCCGCGGCGCAUUAGCUAGUUGGUGAGGUAAGAGCUCACCAAGGCAACGAUGCGUAGCCGACCUGAGAGGGUGAUCGGCCACACUGGGACUGAGACACGGCCCAGACUCCUACGGGAGGCAGCAGUAGGGAAUCUUCCGCAAUGGACGAAAGUCUGACGGAGCAACGCCGCGUGAGCGAUGAAGGUCUUCGGAUCGUAAAGCUCUGUUAUUAGGGAAGAACAAGUAUCGGAGUAACUGCCGGUACCUUGACGGUACCUAACCAGAAAGCCACGGCUAACUACGUGCCAGCAGCCGCGGUAAUACGUAGGUGGCAAGCGUUGUCCGGAAUUAUUGGGCGUAAAGCGCGCGCAGGCGGUCCUUUAAGUCUGAUGUGAAAGCCCACGGCUCAACCGUGGAGGGUCAUUGGAAACUGGAGGACUUGAGUGCAGAAGAGGAGAGUGGAAUUCCACGUGUAGCGGUGAAAUGCGUAGAGAUGUGGAGGAACACCAGUGGCGAAGGCGACUCUCUGGUCUGUAACUGACGCUGAGGCGCGAAAGCGUGGGUAGCGAACAGGAUUAGAUACCCUGGUAGUCCACGCCGUAAACGAUGAGUGCUAAGUGUUAGAGGGUUUCCGCCCUUUAGUGCUGCAGUUAACGCAUUAAGCACUCCGCCUGGGGAGUACGGCCGCAAGGCUGAAACUCAAAGGAAUUGACGGGGGCCCGCACAAGCGGUGGAGCAUGUGGUUUAAUUCGAAGCAACGCGAAGAACCUUACCAGGUCUUGACAUCCCGCUGACCGGUAUAGAGAUAUACCUUUCCCUUCGGGGACAGCGGUGACAGGUGGUGCAUGGUUGUCGUCAGCUCGUGUCGUGAGAUGUUGGGUUAAGUCCCGCAACGAG
rnacentral:rRNA from 1 species